CCUACGGGUGGCAGCAGUGAGGAAUAUUGGUCAAUGGCCGGAAGGCUGAACCAGCCAAGCCGCGUGAAGGACGAAGGUGCCAAGCAUUGUAAACUUCUUUUGUCAAGGGACAAAAUCAGGCUCGAGAGCCUGACCGCGGGUACUUGAAGAAAAAGCAUCGGCUAACUCCGUGCCAGCAGCCGCGGUAAUACGGAGGAUGCGAGCGUUAUCCGGAUUUAUUGGGGUUAAAGGGUGCGUAGGCGGGCUGUUAAGCGAGCGGUAAAAGCCCGGGGCUCAACCCCGGCGAGCCGUUGAAACUGGCUGUCUUGAGAUGUCGAGAGGUAUGCGGAAUGCGCAGUGUAGCGGUGAAAUGCUUAGAUAUGGCGAAGAACUCCGAUUGCGAAGGCAGCAUACCGGCGGCGAUCUGACGCUGAGGCACGAAAGCGUGGGUAUCGAACAGGAUUAGAUACCCCUGUAGUC
rnacentral:rRNA from 1 species